rnacentral:rRNA from 1 species
UACGUAGGGGGCGAGCGUUGUCCGGAUUUAUUGGGCGUAAAGAGCGUGUAGGCGGCUUGGUAGGUCUGCUGUGAAAACUCGGGGCUCAACCCCGAGACGUCGGUGGAAACCACCUGGCUAGAGUCCGGAAGAGGAGAGUGGAAUUCCUGGUGUAGCGGUGAAAUGCGUAGAUAUCGGAAGGAACAUCAGUGGCGAAAGCGACUUCCUGGACCAAUACUGACGCUCAUGUGCGAAAGCGUGGGGAGCAAACAGG